UACAGAGGUCGCAAGCGUUGUUCGGAUUCACUGGGCGUAAAGGGUGCGCAGGUGGUCGGGUAAGUCUGAUGUGAAAUCCCGCAGCUCAACUGCGGAAUGGCAUUGGAUACUAUUUGGCUAGAGGGUUGGAGGGGGGACUGGAAUUCUCGGUGUAGCAGUGAAAUGCGUAGAUAUCGAGAGGAACACCAGUGGCGAAGGCGAGUCCCUGGACAACUCCUGACGCUGAGGCACGAAAGCUAGGGGAGCAAACAGG
rnacentral:rRNA from 1 species